ensembl:lncRNA
GGCUGAGUCACUGGCUUACUGGUGCUCUUUCAUGCCGUCCCUAGGAGGGGUGCGUCACUUGAGUGGGUUGAGUCACUGACGUGAUCUUCCUGUCUGGGUUGUGCCGUAGCGGAGAUCUUUGUGGGCUAUACUCGGCCUUGUCUCAGGAUGAGGACCUGAGCCCUAGGACCAUGCCUCAGGACUACCUGGCAUGAUGACUCCUUGCUGCCCCCAGUCCACCUGGCCGUGCUGCUGCUCCAUUUACAACUGUUCUGCCUGCGGCUAUGGAAUCCUGACCUGUUCACCGGGCGUGCUACCUGUCCCAGACCUGCUGUUUUCAACUCUCUAGAGACAGCAGGAGUGGUAGAGAUACUCUUAAUGAUCGGCUAUGAAAAGCCAACUGACAUUUACUCCUGAGGUGCUGACUUGCUGCACCCUCGACAACUACUGUGAUUAUUAUUUGACCAUGCUGGUCAUUUAUGAACAUUUGAACAUCUUGGCCAUGUUCUGUUAUAAUCUCCACCCGCCACAGCCAGAAGAGGACUGGCCACCCCUCAUAGCCUGGUUCCUCUCUAGGUUUCUUCCUAGGUUUUGGCCUUUCUAGGGAGAUUUUCCUAGCCACCGUGCUUCUACACCUGCUUUGCUUGCUGUUUGGAGUUUUAGGCUGGGUUUCUGUACAGCACUUUGAGAUAUCAGCUGAUGGACGAAGGAUAUAUAAAUACAUUUGAUUUGAUUUGAUUUGAUGUAUUGAUCACAUCUUCACUAAUGCUACAGAAAUGUGCUUGAAAAUAGUAUCCAGAUCCAUCAGAUGUGGUGAUCACAUUGCAAUAGCCAUAUCUAGGAAAACCAAAGUUCCAAAGGCUGGGCCUAAUAUAGUGUAUAAGAGGUCAUACAAUAAGUUUUGUAGUGAUUCCUAUGUUGUUGAUGUAAAGAAUAUCUGUUGGUUGUGGUGUGUAAUGAGGAGCAAACAGACACGGCACUUGACACAUUUAUAAAAUGGCUUAUUCCAUUUGCUAAUAAGCAUGCACCCAUUAAGAAAAUUACUGUAAUAACUGUUAAAUCUCCAUGGAUUGAUGAGAAAACUUUUGGAACAAAUAGUUUUGACCAGAUACAAUGCCAUUUUACAGUAAACAAAUUGACAACAAACUUUCAGCAUGCUUAUAGAAAAGGACAUUCAAAAAGCACAGCACUUACACAAAUGAUUGAUAAUAAAAUAUUGAGGGAGCUGUUUUGUUAGAUUUCAGUGCGGCCUUUGACAUUAUCGAUCAUAGUCUGCUGCUGGCAAAACUUGUUAUGUUAUGUUAUGGCUUUACACGGCCUGCUACAGUAUAUUGUGGAUAAAAAGUUACCUGUCUAACAGAAUACUGAGGGUGUUCUUUAAUGGAAGCCUCUCCAACAUAAUCCAGGUAGAAUUAAGAAUUCCUCAAGGCAGCUGUCUAGGCCCAUGACUUUUUUCAAUCUUUAUUAUUAUUA